rnacentral:rRNA from 1 species
CCUACGGGAUGCAGCAGUAGGGAAUCUUCCACAAUGGGCGAAAGCCUGAUGGAGCAACGCCGCGUGGGUGAAGAAGGUCUUCGGAUCGUAAAACCCUGUUGUUAGAGAAGAAAGUGCGUGAGAGUAACUGUUCACGUUUCGACGGUAUCUAACCAGAAAGCCACGGCUAACUACGUGCCAGCAGCCGCGGUAAUACGUAGGUGGCAAGCGUUAUCCGGAUUUAUUGGGCGUAAAGGGAACGCAGGCGGUCUUUUAAGUCUGAUGUGAAAGCCUUCGGCUUAACCGGAGUAGUGCAUUGGAAACUGGGAGACGUGAGUGCAGAAGAGGAGAGUGGAACUCCAUGUGUAGCGGUGAAAUGCGUAGAUAUAUGGAAGAACACCAGUGGCGAAGGCGGCUCUCUGGUCUGUAACUGACGCUGAGGUUCGAAAGCGUGGGUAGCAAACAGGAUUAGAUACCCUUGUAGUC